AAAGCCAGAUCUCCCCAGCUCAGCCGACAGAGCGCCAAAGCGGGGUAGCAAGGGGUGGAGGGAGCAAGGGAGGACGUGGGCGUGCCGCCUCGCCUCCUGCUCUGGGUCAAAUCCCUUACCUUUGUGAACGGGGAAAUGAAGCUGGUUAUGCAGAUCAGGCCGGCGUCCGCAAAGAGCUUGGCCACUUCGGCAAUCCGGCGGAUGUUCUCUUCGCGGUCUCCAGCAGAGAAUCCCAGGUUCUUGUUGAGGCCAUGACGGACAUUGUCCCCAUCCAGGGAGUAACACGGGAUGGCGUGGGAGACAAGGGGUGCACAUUAAAGAACAUGAACAUCACGUGUCUUUCUCAACAUGGAAGUGAGCUUCCCCAGUAAACACCCAGGGAAGGUAAGCAGGCAGCCGGUGAGCCGCCUUGGGAAUACAUCUGUUACUACGAGCUGCAUCUCACAGUGCGAGCUAGGGGAACACCACAGGCGGAGCAAUAGGCAAGCCCAUCACGUUGGCACUUGGGGCUCCAUGCCCAUUGUCUGACUUGACAUUAGAGGACAGAUGAGAUUGUUUUGAUGUAAAUCCCAGCUGCAGAGGAAACCAGGAAACCCCCGGCAUCAGGAAAAAUUCAAGAAUAGCAAGGAAACAAAACCAAACAAACCAGGGUGUGUUUCACAGGGGAAUCGUGAAUUCUGGGUCAGCCUGGGCUUCACCGUGAGACCCUGUCUCACUAAGCAAAAACAGUGCAUGCAAGCAGUAGCAAAUAGAAAUCAUCAGGAGAAAUCCAGGCAGGCUUCCAGCUCUGUGUUCUUCUGAGCUACUGUUAGGGUUGACCUUUGCCUGUCUGUGUGAGCAGAAAAUUACAUGUGUGUCUCUCACGGCCUAAAUAAGCAUGCUGUUGUUUCUGUGAGCUUUCCUUCACAGAAAACCUGUUUACAUGGUGAACCUGGGUUUCCCUUUCUGAAGCCUGGCUGUAUCAUCUGUCUAUCUCAGGCCCCCAGAACGUCAAGACAUCAGAGAACUAGCUCUAAACAUCCGUAACCCGACAGACUGCCAAAUAUUCACUGUGGAAGUAGGAAAAGCCCUUUUAUCGUGGCAGGAAAUGCCUGCAGGGGCGACUGUGAGCAGCUCCUUAGAGUCGGAAGAAGGUGUCACGAUCCACUUGUCUCAUCUUGUGCUGCCAAAGGAUGGUAACUGAUAACCGGUAACUCCCCACAGCCCACCAGACUCCAGUGCCCUGGACAGGAGAGCGAUGAUUGACAGCCCGGCAUCUACACAGCUUGUCACUCCCUUUAGGCCACAAAUAAACACCUACUAGGUGUGACAUGUCA